UUGAAUUUGUCAAACAGGCCUGGCUCCGUCCAAAGAAGCCUUUAAAUACAAUCUCGAGAACAAGCACCCUCAACUAAACAAGUCUCUACUUGGAAAAGAUCCAAGUCUUCCCCACAGAACAAGGCUCGUCUAAACAAAGUCAGCUGGUCUUGAUGGGGUCGUCGGGCAGUUCCUGCCACCUGCUGCUUAUCUUCAGGAUUGCCUCCACCCACCUCCAGUAUUUAAGCCGGCCUGAUCUACCAGUCUUCGCCAGUUCGUCAGAUACUCCUGCGUUUUUUCCCUGUGUCCUGGUCCUCGGCUUUGAUUGCCUCGUCUCCCUGCCUCGCCAGUUCCUGUCCGGAGCUCCUGCAUCCAGCCUCCCAAUUUCUAUCUUCAUCAACCUGUUUAAAUAAACUUCUGUACCGAA
ensembl:lncRNA